GCGUAACAGUUUCUUGCGAUCGCGCCGUUUCUGUGCAGGUUCCUGUACAUGGAAAUUGGCCACAGCGACAGCGAGAGUGACGGCGGCAUUUUUUCACGGUCCACUCUACAGAAAGAUCGCCAGAGGGACGUUAGGGCUGCCACCGCCAAGACCUGUUGGGAGAGAGGGGCUUCUCCCAUACUUCCUUGUUGGCGAUGGGGCCUCCCCGCUCAAGGAAUACAUGAUGCGGCGAUACCCACGAUGGACACUGCAUGAAGACUCAUGCGAGACGCACAAGCGGCGAGUUUUCAACUACCACUUGAGCAGGGCCCGGCGAGUCAUCGAAAAUGCUUUUGGAAUCCUGGCAUAACGGUGGAGAAUUCUGCGGCGACUGUUCAAAGCCAAGAUCGACAAUAUUAAUAGAUAUGUGGGAGUCUGCACAGUGCUGCACUAUUUUUUGAUGAAGGAGUCAUCAGCCUCUUCUGCUGCAUACUGCCCACCAGGUUCUGCCGACAGCGAGGACUGGGAAGGGCAACUUUCCCCUGGCAGCUGGAGGGAGGAGGAAUCAGCCGGUGGUGCCCUCUUGCCAUCAACGUCUACUGGGUGUCACGCUGCUCGGUGCAAAGGUAUGCGAAAGAACUUCGGGACAAGCUGGCACACCACUUCAUCACAGCCGGCCAAGUUCCCUGGCAAGAUAAAGUGGUCACCAGUACUUGAACUGCACAAGAUGAAGUCCCACGACAUGACGCUUGCCCAGUUGGUGAGGACUCUUGGUGUCACUAUGAUCGGCACAGAGCCCUAGUUGCAGCAGAAAAGCCAUCAGUACCAAGAUCCCAUCGUCCAGCUUUCAGCAGAGACAUUGCCAAAGAGCUGGUGCCUGUUUACAACAGGCUUAGUAAGCCAGAACUUCUUGCGCGAUGUUCAAGGAUGCAGACACAGAAUGCAAACGAGUCCUUCAAUGCUCUUCUAUGGAAACGGUGCCCAAAGAUAGAAUUUGCAUCACUGAGAACAGUGGAGACUGCAGCAGCCCUGGCUGUUCUAGAAUUCAAUGAAGGAGCAUCAAGCAUCAAGAGAGUUCUCGACAAGCUGGAACUCGAACAUGGAGUCCAGACGAAUAAGCAUGUUCUGGAAGUAACGAAGCAAGCCAUUUCACGAGCGCAGACAAGAGCGAUGGAUAGCUCUAAAGUUGAAAAAAAAAAAGAAAAAGAGAGACGACGCCUUGAAGAGAUCACCGCAGAGCAGUGUCGUGUUGAAGAGGAGGGCCCGACAUAUGCAGCAGGGCACUUUAAUUUUUUCUGAUCAUAAGAAUAAAUUCCGUUCUCUGAACUCUGAAUUUAUUUUUCUCAGUUUGCACUUUUUGCAAAAAAAAAAGGAGCUUUAGGAAAAGUAUCAUUUCCAGACUGAAAUUUUGUGAGGAACAAGAUAAAGUACUUUUCAGACGCCUAAAUGUUUUCCAACAUAUUAUAUUUAGCAGAUCUUUGACAUGUAAUGACAGCGAAAAAAAUAAACUUCAUUUUCAGAAUGAUGGCAUUUUUACAGAAAUUACAUAAAAAUGUGCAACUGACCUUAUCCUGCACUAUAAACCAUCUAGAACGUAUCUAAUCACAACUAAUUUGUAUAUUUUCAGUAUUUUGUAAACAAUAGUUUUCCUAAGUUGACACACAGAUUGCUCAAUUUCAAAGUUAUAACUUUCUUUCUCGUUGCACUAGGGUGCUGAUAUUUGGAAGAUAUUCUAAUGACAACAAGAUCAACUACCCCUGAAAAUUUCAUAAAAAUUGGUUGAGCGCUUCAAAAGUUGACUCUUCAGCCUAGCAUCCCCCUUAAAGCACGCUGACUUCUUUGAUCGCCCGAUCUUGAAAGGCCUGAGACAAUGGUUCCCGUCCAUGCUAAUGCACAGCAACAUGGUCAUCCUAAGUUUCGAGUGCUUCCCGC